UUGAUAUAUAAUAAAAAAUCUAACCUGCCCGGUGAAUAAAUUUUAACGGCUGCGGUAAUUUAAUCGUACAAAGGUAGCAUAAUCAAUUGUCUAUUAAUUGUAGACUGGAAUGAAAGGUUUGACUUGAAAAUAAUUGUCUUAUUAAUAUGUUGAAUUUAAAGUUUUUAUUAAGAUGUAAAGGUGAUAUUAAUAGACGAGAAGACCCUAUUGAGUUUUAUAUAAAAAUUGRUUAAUAAGUUUUGAUUAUAUAAUCUAUUAUGUAUUUUGCUGGGGCGGUUAAAGAAUAACAUCUUAAAAAUAAUAAUUUUAUAUGAUACUUGAUCCAAAAUUUUUGAUUAUUAGAGUAAAUUACCAUAGGGAUAACAGCGUUAUUUUAUUUGAAAGUUCAAAUUGAUGAUAAAGUUUGCGACCUCGAUGUUGGGUUAGGAUACCUUUAAUUUGGUGAAGUAGUUAAUUAAGGUAGUCUGUUCGACUAUUAAAAUCCUAUA
rnacentral:rRNA from 1 species